GACGAACGCUGGCGGCGUGCUUAACACAUGCAAGUCGAACGGAAAGGCCCUGCUUUUGUGGGGUGCCCGAGUGGCGAACGGGUGAGUAACACGUGAGUAACCUGCCCUUGACUUUGGGAUAACUUCUGGAAACUGGGGCUAAUACCGGAUAGGAGCUCCUGCUGCAUGGUGGGGGUUGGAAAGUUUCGGCGGUUGGGGAUGGACUCGCGGCUUAUCAGCUUGUUGGUGGGGUAGUGGCUUACCAAGGCUUUGACGGGUAGCCGGCCUGAGAGGGUGACCGGCCACAUUGGGACUGAGAUACGGCCCAGACUCCUACGGGAGGCAGCAGUGGGGAAUAUUGCACAAUGGGCGGAAGCCUGAUGCAGCAACGCCGCGUGCGGGAUGACGGCCUUCGGGUUGUAAACCGCUUUCGCCUGUGACGAAGCGUGAGUGACGGUAAUGGGUAAAGAAGCACCGGCUAACUACGUGCCAGCAGCCGCGGUGAUACGUAGGGUGCGAGCGUUGUCCGGAUUUAUUGGGCGUAAAGGGCUCGUAGGUGGUUGAUCGCGUCGGAAGUGUAAUCUUGGGGCUUAACCCUGAGCGUGCUUUCGAUACGGGUUGACUUGAGGAAGGUAGGGGAGAAUGGAAUUCCUGGUGGAGCGGUGGAAUGCGCAGAUAUCAGGAGGAACACCAGUGGCGAAGGCGGUUCUCUGGGCCUUUCCUGACGCUGAGGAGCGAAAGCGUGGGGAGCGAACAGGCUUAGAUACCCUGGUAGUCCACGCUGUAAACGGUGGGUACUAGGUGUGGGGUCCAUUCCACGGGUUCCGUGCCGUAGCUAACGCUUUAAGUACCCCGCCUGGGGAGUACGGCCGCAAGGCUAAAACUCAAAGGAAUUGACGGGGCCCCGCACAAGCGGCGGAGCAUGCGGAUUAAUUCGAUGCAACGCGUAGAACCUUACCUGGGUUUGACAUGGAUCGGGAGUGCUCAGAGAUGGGUGUGCCUCUUUUGGGGUCGGUUCACAGGUGGUGCAUGGCUGUCGUCAGCUCGUGUCGUGAGAUGUUGGGUUAAGUCCCGCAACGAGCGCAACCCUUGUUCACUGUUGCCAGCACGUUAUGGUGGGGACUCAGUGGAGACCGCCGGGGUCAACUCGGAGGAAGGUGGGGAUGACGUCAAGUCAUCAUGCCCCUUAUGUCCGGGGCUUCACGCAUGCUACAAUGGCUGGUACAGAGAGUGGCGAGCCUGUGAGGGUGAGCGAAUCUCGGAAAGCCGGUCUCAGUUCGGAUUGGGGUCUGCAACUCGACCUCAUGAAGUCGGAGUCGCUAGUAAUCGCAGAUCAGCAACGCUGCGGUGAAUACGUUCCCGGG
rnacentral:rRNA from 1 species